rnacentral:lncRNA from 1 species
GGUACCAGAGGUAACAGCACCAUCAGGUUCUCCCGCAGAUGCACUGCCUCCUGCUCUUGCCUGCCCACCUCUCUCUGUCUUUUCCAGGCAGUUCAGGACAGCUUCCCAGUGAGGUCUUGCACCCUGCAGUGACAAAGUGACUGUGGACCUGAGAGUGAGAUAAAGCGAUGAGAACGCCGUCCCUUUCAUCUUCAAAACAGUGAUCCUGUAUUUUGACUGAAUAUCAGAAAGGUCCUGCUUUAAAAUCCUCAUGUCAAAGUUGACUUUUUAAGAACUAGUCUUUUUUUCAUUAUAUCGUAUAAAGAGCAGUUAGUUUUUCCAUGGUGGCGUUUUACCUGCAGAGUUUGUUUCUGAUUUCUUACUACCCUUCCUCAUGGCCUAAGAUGUAUGUUGGGGUUUGUACUCCAUGUAAGUUUUGCCCAUCAACCUCUGUUAUCUUCCACAUUAACAGUAGGAUAUUAAAAAAAAUAUUUCUCAUAAUUUCUGGUUCCUUCAAUUAACUCUAAUGUUUAAUGAAUUUCAUUCAAGUUCCUAUGGAAUAUUGUUGGAAAGCUUGUGAAAAGAGCUAAAAAAAGCAAAAGAGGCAAUAAUGUGCAGAGUGAAGCUCACCAGAAUUUACUAGCUGUGUCAGACUUCUAGGUCGGCUAAUUAACAGUGUAACUGGGCUGUAACCAGAUGAUCUCUAUGAUACGACAAGCAGCAUGUGAGCAGCAAUAAUAGCAGUAGACUAACUUCAGAAUGCUAAAAACUGUCACCAGAGCUGGUUACAGCUCACAUCUGCAAAUGCAAAAAGUUGUAUGGAGACAAUGGCGCACAGGAAGACUUGCUAGGCUAUGGAUUAAGCCAAUUAUUUAGAGAAGAUGGUGUGCUCAAGGAAAGCUCAAAACUUGAAAGCAGAGAUUAGGUGCCUUUCUAAGGAGAAUAGGUGGAGGGACAAGAUUUGAGGAAAAAAAACCUGCUGAAGAAAAUGUUCCAGUUACUGUGAAAACAGAAAAGGAGGGGGGUAAUAAAAGAAUGAAGCCUAUCUAGUUUCAAAAUUUGGCUGAAGAAAAAGAAGUAGUAAAAAUCACUACUACAGAUGAGAUCCAAAGAUAAUCUUACGGGAUGUAGAAAGAUCUGUACUGUAUCCUGCAACUAUCAGAAACCACAUGGGAAAGAAGAUUUUUUAAGAAGCAGUUUAAAAGACAAAGUGGAGAUUUGGAGGUGUCCAGCUAGAGCUAUGGUUGAUGUUCAGGUAGGAAGUUCUCAAAAUGUCCUGAAUUCCAGGCUUAUAUCUGUCUGUCAAUGCAGUCUAUGCUACAGCUGCUCAACACUGAUGAAGAAACUCUCUGAAUCUCUGAACCUUUUGUUUUCUCCAUCUCCUACUAGUAGCAGGUGAUGAGGAAAACACAGUUAGGAGUUCUCUUUCUGAUGAAGCUUUUGAGUUCUCCGUGCAUAAGCACUUUGUCUGUGACAUGAAAACUACUCCCCAGCAUCUGGACACAACUCAGGCAAGAUUUUUCCUGUAGGUUUUUGGUUAACAAGUUGGGCUGAUGUACCUUCACCUCAGCUGUAAAUGAAUCCUCUCUUGGCACUUGUACAGUGUGCCAUUCCCAGGAAGAUUUGGGAGUUUGUUGGCAUGUCCUGCCCCUGGCUCACAUAUUCCCUGGCAUCACUCUGACAUUCCUACAACAAUUUAUAUCCCCAGCAGAUCACUUCCCAAGUAAAUAUGGCAUAGCAGCUCAGAGGGUGGUCGAGGACUGCUCAAUACAUUCAUCUGGAUAUAUGCAGAUCUAAAGUGCUCUUUUUCUGUGCCUUGGUGCUUUGCCACCAACCAAAAAUUCCCGCUCUCCCUCCUGCUGUGAUCUUCCUCCCACAGACCAGCCUUGCUGGUGAUUUUGUCUUGCUCCUCCCUUCCCCAGCAAGCUUCUUGCUCUGACAAAUUCUCCCUUGGCUACAAUAGCUCCUGCCGGGUUCCUCCCAGUCUGUGGUCAUGGUUGCUGGGGUGGAUGUGAGCAUACCUGGCUCCAAGGCCACAAACUCUCCCUUUGCACCCCUAACAGCCCAGGAACUGCUUCAAAUUCAUGAAUCCAUCCUGCAUAUAAUUUGAAAGUGCACUUUCUUCAGAGGAAAAAUAAAUUGCAAGAAGGAAAGCGUCUCUACCUGAAACCAAGCCUGUGUUGUUUUGGGAGUGGAAAAGAAUCCCUAAACAAGAUGACAAAAACACACAGUAUAUUAUUUUGAUUACAGUUGUUCAAACUGAAUAUUUUUACAGAUCUGAAAAUAAUUAAAGGGA